GACACCGUCGACUGGUACCCAUAUGGCCACUAGCUGGCACCACCUUGCGACCCUUCGAACUCGCCAACAUAUUCUCGUCAGACAAUCAAUUUUAUUAAAUUUUUUUAUGUUAUAGCACAGAUGUCUUUCCUUUAAAAUGCUUCUGAUUAUUUUUUAUAGCUACGUUUAUAAUUGUUAUAACCAUAAAUAGAUUUGUGAACAGACUUAUAAUCUGAAGUUAACUCUUUACGAAUAUUCGAAAGAGAUUGUACUGUACUAUAGACUACAGUCUAUAGUCUGCACAUUGUUGUCAGGAUCAUGGACAGGAUGAUCAAUUUGUUUUCUGAUGGUUUACUUUUAAAUUUGAGUGGUCAUGGAUAAAUUACGUCUGGGCAGUGCUUUAUCCAAUGUCGAUGUUCUCUAUGAAUUUACAUUAUUGAAGGAAAAACGAUGUUUCAAAGCACGCUAGUUCGAUAAUUGUCAAGAAUUAAGUAAUGGUUUAGAGAACAAACUGUUAGAAGAAGGUUGAAAUAUAGCGUGAUGUUCUCGCAUAAUACUUCAAUUAAAAUAUAACAGCCCAAUAGAAGUGUACCAAAAAUGGGUACAAUUUAUUCGAUAAUGGAUUAUCAUAAAAGCAAACGAUCGAAAGAUUCUCUGGAAAACUAAAAUGCUUGUGUCAUCACGAAAAGAGAGAUUUUAUUCCUAAACUGUAUCUGCAAACUUUAGGAAAAAUGAUUACUCGACAUAUAGAAGAACAGCUCAGUUCUUAAAAGUAGUAUCCGAUUCUCAAAUGCUACAAGAAUCUUAAAUUUUAUCGAAGUUCUGGAAGCAAAACUCGCAGUACAAUGAAAGAAAAAGUUUAGAAGAAAUAAUUCUAGUCAAUCGUUCCGAAGUAAAAUUAUUAUCAGUAAUUGGUAAUUGUAAAGAAUACUCAUUUUUCAUUAUAAUUAUUAUAUGAAAAUCAUUGCCAAUGGCCUAAGAUAUAAUCUUACAGAAUGUUGUUUGUCUUAAUUACUAGGAACGUGAAGUAAAUCCCUGCAAAAUCGAAGUCGUGUGUUUAAUUUCACAUUGUUAAUACUUUCUUGAGUUUUUUGUUUCUUAAUGUUAUAUUUUAUCUACAUUACAUUAUAAAUAUACGUAUAUAAUGUAUAUAUAUUGGACAUGCAUAUAAGAACACACGUGUAAUUUGAAGGAAAUAGAAAACAGAUUAUGGCAUAUAAA